rnacentral:lncRNA from 10 species
AUGGGGCCCCUUGUUAAAAAGUAUUGAGCAAUUCUAGACAGGGACAGCAUUAAACCAAGCGGGGCCUUUCUAACCACAGGGCACCAGCUAGCAUGGGACAGCUGCGUAGGGGUGCAGGUGGCCCACCUGUGAAUCCAGCCCUGGAGAAAAGCAUCCACAACCAAUUGAAUCAAAGAAGGAGAGGUUCCUGGGGCUAUUUGGCUAUAGUGCUUUGUUUCUUUUCAGAUCUCUCAAUUUAUAAGUGUAUAACAACAGUAUUAUGCUGGUGAAAGUUACCAUUUUAUGGAUCACUGGGGCUGGCUCCUUUCAGAGGAAUGAGGUAAAUAACAGGGUGCUUAAACGCAAUUAGUUGAAGCAACAAAAAGAACAAAGAGAACAACAAGAAAGCUAUUAUGCAAAUGUGUGGCCAUUCGCUGCCAUUCUGCCUUGGGGAGUUUUGUGGUAGAUUCAGGAGUUUCUGCCUGUUUGAAUUAUUAGUCCUCCUUAUAUUUAACAUCAAGCUUCAGUACAAUUAUUUAUGUUGCUUUUUUUUUUUUUCUUCCCCUCAGCACAUUAGCAAUUGGCCUCUCUCAUCUGGUCUUAACGUGGGCUUAACUGCUGCCUUGACUGAAAACAAUAGCAAUGAAGGCAAAGCAAGCGCAGACCCUGCAGUAGGCCGGCCAGACAGAAGGUUCUGCUCUGCAGGGGUCCCGGAAAAGAGGAGGCAGAUAGGUGCCUUCCCCAAGGGUCCUAGGCUGCUGUCUGUGGGGUUGUGAACCACGAAAUUUUCUAGUUCCUUUCAGAAAUGACCUGGUCAGACAUAAUGGAACUGGGUAUCCCCAGCCCUUUCAAAAAAAAAAUCCUACUAAAGACCCAACCAAUGUAUUUCAGAUCACAUUUGUGCCUACAUUAAGUACACUAAAUUAUACACAAAAUGUUACUGGAAAGUCCCCAAGAGAUGAUUCUUGGAUCUCAUGCAAGAAAGAUUUUGGGGUGAGUCCACAGAAUAAAGUGAAAGCGAGUUUAUUGGAGAAGUAAAGAAACAAAGGAAUGGCUACUCCAUGGGCAGGGCAGGGCGUUCCCAAAAGCAAGAGAGCAAGGGGAGGAGUGUUCCUAUCUUAGGUGCAAAGCUUUUUUUUUUUUUUUUUUUUUUUAAGAUGUUGUCUUGCCCUGGGCUGGGCUGUGUGGGGAGGCCAUGGAAAGCAGCCUGGACUACAGUCAUAAGCUGAGUCAUAAGCUGAGGACUUGGCUCACAAACAAGCCCUACAUGAGACCCUGCUGGUGGGGGUCGGGGGUGGGUCCUGUUAUCCCCUUCUCUGCCCCCUGCCUUCUCUGCAGGAAUGCUGGCUGAUGGCCCCUGCCUCAUCUCCAGGCCCCCAUGUCUUCAAGAUGCUUGUUUACCCAGUUGCCACAGCCUCCCCAGGAACUCGUGGGAGCAAGCUCUGCAUGGCUGACAGCCCCAUUUAGAAGAGGGCGCUGUGGAAUGAAUGGUCCCCCCUGCAGCUCAGCCUCAUCUCCUUAAUGGAUCCUAAUUACCCCUGUCCUGCUUAUAGCUUCUCUCCAGGACCCACUUGUCAGGAUGAUGGAUGAGGUGACUGGGAGGUGGGGCCAGCUGGGACUGGAGGAAUCCCCCCACUGUCUAGUAGGGCGGGGACGCAGGAACUUUCAGUCAGUCCCAAAGAUUCUGAGGAAGAGAAGACAACAUUGCAGGAUGAGCUCUUCUCCCCUUUUGUCCCCAAAACUUGGGCCAGGUGAGUUUUUGCUUAGGAGGAAGGUGAUGGGGAAUCUGGAUGAGGAGAACUGGCUAUUCUGGUGUGUAACCUGGGGAGUACAUGAUAAGGGGAGGAGAGGCAGCCCUGCUCAGGACUCCAAGGCAGGACCCAGAGCUGUAUUUUAGGACCCCAGCACUAGGCCUAUCAGAAGGCCACAUCUGCUUUGAGAAGGCCGGCAGUCACCAGGCACAUAGUCUCCAGCUGAUCCAUGUCUUCAUGGACACACUCCCAGCGGGGACUCAGUAAAUGAACUGCAAAUCAUCUGGGGUCCCAGACACAGACCUUUGACCCUAUGAUCACCAGUAGCAGAUGCUGGCUUGACUGUGAUUCUCUGUUUCUGCAGAUUAAUCAGAUAAGGGAGAAGGAAUACCAGGGUUCUGCUUUUAAGUCACAUCUACUCAGAACAAAGGAGUGAAACCUUCCCCUCCUCUGCUACGAAUAUAGUCUCACAUGCUCUAGGAAUUAACAAUCACAGUCUAACUUGUGAGUUACUAUUUUGUGCACUUGUUCUGUGCCAUGUGCACUGUAAGCUACUUGUGCACGGCAGGUAUCUUACUCAUCUUUUCCAUCUGUGUUCCCUCGGCGGUGUCCACUGUAGGGGCACCGUGCAGUUGUACAAGAGGGUAGGCGGAGCAAACCCAGGAGUAGACUGGAACCUCUCUUUACAUCUGGGAUGCUAGCCCCAGGUUUCCAUGGAGGGAGUAAAACUUCUUUUCCCCAGAGAUGGUAGAUUGAGAAGUAUGUGGCCACCUUCUUUCUCCAUAUGCCUCUGGAGCCACCUGCCUUGCUGCUGAGCACAAGAAGAGGCUUUGUGCCUUCUGGGCUUUCUCUUUCAGGGCGGGUUGCUCUUCCUGUGUGUGGUAAAUGUGGGAGGCAUUUGUGUGCCCACGUGUGGUAGUAGCUCAUUUCUAGGCUGCCCUCCCAGAUCCUCACUUCCCAGAACAAACGUUGUCUUGUGGCAUCCUGCCACACUGAAGAGGGUUGAUCUGUGAAGCCAAUAGGAUAGCACAGAAUUGGUGUUGUGUGGCUUCUGAACCUACUCAUAGAAGACAUGACAGCAGCCACCCAAUGUUCUUGGAACAUUCAUUCUGGGGGAAGCCAGCCACCAUUUCAUGAGAAUACUUGUUAUGGGGUAAAUGGUAUCUCCCCAAUUGAUAUGUUGAAAUCCUAAUUCCCAGUUUUUCAGAAUGUGACUGUAUUUGGAGAUAGGACCUUUAGAGAGGUGAUUAAGAUAAAAUGAGGUCUUUAGCAUUUGCCCUAGUCCAAUAUGACUGGUAUUCGUAUAAGAAGAGAAGAUUAGGAUACAGACAUGCACAGAAGGAAGACUGUGAGCAGACACAGGGAAAAGGUGGUGCUCUGCAAGCCAAGGAACACUCUGCUGAUACCUUGAUCUUAGACUUCUAGCUUCCAGUACUGUGAGAAAAUAUAUUUCCAUUGUUUAAGCCACCUGGUCUGCGGUGCUUUGUUAUGGCAGUUCUAGCAAACUCAUACACCACUCCAGUAGCCCUGUGUAGAGGCCCACAUGGAGAGGAACAAAAUUGCCAGCACUAACUCAUGAGGCAUAUGAGUGAACCAACUUAAGAGCAUAUCCUCCAGCCCUGGUCAAGCCUUCAGAUGACUUCAGUCCCUCAGCCCUCAUGUGCUCCAGUUGAGGCCCCAGACAUCAUGGAGCAGAGGACAUUUCCUCAUGAUUAAUUUCAGACCAUACAUCUUUGGCAAGAGUUUCACAGAAACUUCUCAUCGCAUCUUAUCAGGCGGCACACGAUUCUGUUUUGUCUUGGAAUGAAGGAUGCUGACUUUGAUCACUUGCUUGCCGUAGUGUCUGCCAGCCGUCUCCACCAUCAAGCUACUCUUUUCUUCUUUCAGGGUGUGGCUGUGCUAGGAAAGAGACUUGGCCCACAGCCUCACAGUGAUUCAGAAGACGCUGGGUGAGGACCUCUGUGUCCCUGCUCCAAGGACCCUGAGAUGACCCAUCCCAGGACACUCAAUCCUGCCUGCAGAUGCUAGGCUCUGAGGAGAUGCCUGCUAUAGCACCAGCACAUUCUGCAGACAUGUUUUGAAAUGUGUUAAUAAAUAACUGGAGAACAGUAUCUAUACAAUUACCUAGAUUUGCCUGAACUUUACAGGGCAACUAAACAAACAGACAUACGUUCGCAGAAAGGCCACAGUACAGAAGACAAACCGAGGCUUGGUCACCCUGAGGAUCAGCAGCCGGAUCUUUUUCUGAAACAAAUUUCCUGCUAGAGAAUCCCUGAUCUCUGUGAUGCAGUAUUUCCCUAGUUUUUAUUUCUACUUCAACGAGGCACCUCAAUGUCAGUUUCCUUUGGGAAAAGAAAAUCAAAUGUCCCCACAGCUUUUGCCCAAUUGUGAAGGAAAAUUUCAGCAUUGAUUGUCUGUCUGGACUCUUGUGGGGAGGAGGCCAGUGGGCCUAGUAAGACCCUUAGCACACCUGGGCUGUCUAGCCUUAAGGAAACCAGACCUGCCAGGAAAGCAGAAAAGCUGUGAAGAGAUUUUUCUCUGCCUUCCUCGGGGGACAAUCUUCCAGAGCAACAAUGCACCAUGUAUUUACAGAAAACUUAUUAUGUUCAAGGUGCUGGGAGAAGCUAGUUGCAGAUACUUAGAGCAGUAAGGCUUUAAGUUAGACAUAAGGAAGGACUUCCAGCUAUUGGUAUUGAUAUAGUAGGACCCAAGCUUACUUCACAGCUUGCAUCAUCAGGGAAGGAUGAGAUCAUUCUUGAGAACAUUUUGAAUAAAGGCUUAGAGGGACUGAAUAUUGAACGAUCCUGUUAACAUUUCUCCCGGUCCUCCUCCUGCUUUCCAGGAUGAUACUGGUGUAUGAUUUUUACUUAAAGCCCUCCCCCAUCCCCACAGAGACACCUGGAGCCUGGCGGGCCUUGGCAUCAGUGGCUGUUGUCAUGGCGGGGAGAGCUGAGGUGACCACUGUGACUGCCCUGGGCACAAGGACCGUCGUUCUGUGAAUCCUCCCUAAGCCCGCUGGCGGGGCCCCUUUGCUGCCACUGCAAGUAAAGUUUCCCAGCUCAAGUAAAUUCUGGAGGGGAUUGACCUAAUUUCCAGAGUCUAAGGGGUGACAAAAAGCCCCAGUCAAAACUCCUGUAAGUGGGUGAUAAACAGUCUCUAUUAGAAAAAAUAAAUAACAUCUCCAAAGGAGAGCAGGCUUCCUAAGACCCCCUUGCCUUUCAGAGAGACAGCUGUCUCCUGGGAGGAGGACUCCCUGAGCCUCCCGCUUCAGCCGCUCCAGAGGAAAGGUUUGCCUUGCUGUCUCACUGCAGCGCUAGCUGCUCACCAUUUUCACCGACCGCCGCAGCCUCCUGAUGGACCCCACAGCAGGAAGAGGCUGUGGGAGAGGUCUCCACCCUUCAAGGUGGGGCUGACAGUGGUGCUUGGCCUUUAGAGUUGAAAUGUAUUGGUUCUCUGCCUUGGGAGGAACAAUCACUCUCUCUCUCUCUGUCUCUCUCUAUUUCUGUCUGUCUCUCUCUCAAACACACAUACACAUACACUGAGACAGCUAUCAUCAUACCUAAUUUACAUAUUAUGGAAACCGAGGCCCAGAGAGGUUAAAUAACUUGCGUGGUUUUGUCCAGCUAUUAAGUGGGCAAAGCUAGAAUUAGAAUUGAAGCCCAGUGACAGCUUUCAAAUCAAGUUCUUUCCCCUAUUCUGGAGCUGCAGCAACUUUAAUAAGCAUAAGAAGUACUUUGGGAUCUUGUUCAAAUGCAAGUUCUGCAGGUCUAGGGUGGGGUGGAGAUUCUGCAUUUGCAGUAAGUUCCCAAGUAGCAGGGUGUGCUACAAACACCUCAAAGCUGCAGACCCUGGGGAACAGUCCCCAUAGAAUAGGAGGCGGGAAUCAUUCUGGAAAAUAGGGAGACAUAAAUACCCAGACAAGCUUAGGUCUCCAAGGAGGCAGGGAGAUCAGGAGUGGGAGGAAAGGGCAGUCUGUCUCUCUUUCCUUAGAAGACUUCGUGGUUUGAACAUUGCCUUGGUUAGAUUUCCUGAUAUGGGUACAACUUGUGCUGAUCUCAGUGGGAAUCUGGAGCCAGAGAUGACCAGGAAUAGAGGGGGAUAACAUCUGCCAAGUUCCAUUCCUGGUUCAAAAUUCUAACUUGCCAGCUUGUUCAUUCAUCUAAUGACUCAGACCUGAUGGCAGAUUGAAUUUUCCAAAAAUGACUGCAACAAUAUCUUCCAUCCCACAUGUUAUUCUUACAGUGGGACUUUCCAUCUAGAGGUAGGACCUGUAUUUCUUCCCCAUGAAUCUGAGUGGAUGUGCAGUUAUAGUUGAAGUGAUGCUAUGGGACUUCAGAGGCUAGGUCAUAAAAGGCAAUACAUUAGGCCGAGCAUGAUGGCUCACACCUGUAAUCCCAACGCUUCGGGAGGCUGAGGCGGGUGGAUCACCUGAGGUUGGGAGUUCAAGACCAGCCUGACCAACCUGGAGAAACCCCGUCUCUACUAAAAAUACAGAAUUAGCUGGGCAUGGUGGCACAUGCCUGUAAUCCCAGCCACUCAGGAGACUGAGACAGGAGAAUCACUUGAACCUGGGAGGCGGAA